rnacentral:tRNA from 1 species
CGGGGCAUAGCUCAGUGGUAGAGCACUUGCCUGACAUGCACGAGGCCCUGAGUUCCAUCCCCAGCACCCCCC